rnacentral:rRNA from 1 species
GACGAACGCUGGCGGCGUGCUUAACACAUGCAAGUCGUACGGUAAGGCCCUUUCGGGGGUCCACGAGUGGCGAACGGGUGAGUAACACGUGAGUAACCUUCCCACAACUUUGGGAUAACGCUAGGAAACUGGUGCUAAUACUGGAAAUGUGCUCCUGCUGCAUGGUGGGGGUUGGAAAGCUCCGGCGGCUGUGGAUGGACUCGCGGCCUAUAAGCGUGUUGGCGGGGUAGUGGCCUACCAAGGCGGCGACGGGUAGCCGGCCUGCGAGGGUGACCGGCCACAUUGGGACUGAGAUACGGCCCAGGCGCCGACGGGAGGCAGCAGGGGGGAAUAUUGCACAAUGGGCGCAAGCCUGAUGCAGCAGCGCCGCGUGCGGGAUGACGGCCUUGGGGUUGUAAACCGCUUUCAGCAGGGACGAAGCUUUUUGUGACGGUACCUGCAGAAGAAGCACCGGCUAACUACGUG